AAAAGAUGCCUGGGGAGCUGGAAAAGGCCGGCUGAGAUAUAGACCCGCAAGUCUAUGACCCAUUAACCUGAUCUGGAUAAUGCCAGCGUAGGGACUGCUGCAAAAGGGUUUG
rnacentral:ncRNA from 2 species